rnacentral:rRNA from 1 species
GACGAACGCUGGCGGCGUGCUUAACACAUGCAAGUCGAGCGGUAAGGCCCUUCGGGGUACGACGAGCGGCGAACGGGUGAGUAACACGUGGGUGACCUGCCCUCAGCUCUGGGAUAAGCCUGGGAAACGUGGGUCUAAUACUGGAUAUGACUCCACGGUGCAUGUCGUGGGGUGGAAAGCCUUGUGCGGCUGAGGAUGGGCCCGCGGCCUAUCAGCUUGUUGGUGGGGUGAGGCCUACCAAGGCGACGACGGGUAGCCGGCCUGAGAGGG